CAACACUGUAGGGAUAAUUUUUCUUCAUGCAAAGUUAAUGAAUAGCAGAACUUCCGCUUCAUCUUUCUUUUAAUUCUCAGACGUCUUCGACUAUAGAAGAACUAUGAGAGCUAAGUGGCGUAAGAAGCGUAUGCGUAGGUUGAAGCGUAAGCGCAGAAAGAUGCGUGCACGUUCCAAGUAAACUGCUGAUUGCUCUAUAUUAGACAAGUACAAUGUUUUUGCACUACGUUAAACCUAUAAAGAGCUUCAAGUUCUAAUUGUUGUUUCCUGGUAUUUGCCUGGAGGCAUUUUUCUUCAACUGUAUUUUACACAUUAUUUGUGCAAAAGUUGUUUAAAAAUAAAGAGUUAAAUCUUUGGAUUAUUGCUUGGAGUGAAAAAAAAACUA